ACAGCCAGCACAGGAAGUGGAUCUCGGGGACGAGAACGGAUUAUUCAAAGACAGCGAGGCAUGACCACGUGUGGUGUUUGGAAGGCUUCAAGAAGGUAGAUGCGGCUGAAGUACAGUGAGGAGAGAGAGAGACUCAACCGGGGAGCAGAUUAGGAAGGCCCCGGCCAGCUGCGGUAAGAAAUUUGGGCUUUUCCUGAAUUGGAGGAACGCGGCAGUUGAGAGGAAGCUGGAUUUCAGAAGAAGAGUUUGCAAAUAUACUUAAUGAACACUCUAAAAUACAUUAUUGAAACUUACCUGGCCUGGACAGAUCCUGACUCCUGUUGCCAUCAGGAAUCUGGUGAUCCUGGUGAGUAAAAUAAAGUAAGCAACUCCCUUUCCAGAAGGCACUUUCACGAGGCCAUGCUCUGCCCGAGCGGGUUCCAUGUUGUCAAUAUAGACCUCAUGAGAGCUAGAUAAUUCUGUGUGUUGUGACCCAAAUCAUAACUGACUGUGUUAAAAGGCAAAUGUGCAAAUAAUGAAAAAAAUUCUGAACACAAUACAAUUGCUCAGACGAACUGAGAAAAUCUGGCAUUACAAAAAUUAAAGGAAAGGGGGUGCCUGGGUGGCUCGGUUGGUUAAGCAUCCAUCCGACUCUUGGUUUCGGCUCAGGAUAUGAUCUCGUGGUUUUGGGAGUUCGAGCCCCAUGUCAGGCUCCGUGCUGACAGUGCGGACGGAGCCUGCUUGGGAUUCUCUGUCUCCCUCUCUCUCUCUGUCUCUCCCCCACUCGCACUGUCUCUGUCUCUCUCAAAAUAAACAAAUAAAAAACGAAAACAAGAACAAAAGUUAAAGGAAAGGACAAUACUAAUAAAGUUCAGCUCUGAUCACCGUG